CGCUGUCAACGACAGCCAGCCAAUGUUUCCAGUAUCAGGAUGAUACGAGUGACCUGUGAGAAACGCCUUCGGGUGGUCACGAGCCAAAGUCAUAUGGAAUGGAGUGUGGUCUGAGACUGACGCCUUCGGGCGACCACAAAGAAAGUUGUCGUAACCUGAAAGACAACGCUGGAUGCGGUAAACCU
rnacentral:sRNA from 1 species